rnacentral:rRNA from 1 species
UACGGAGGGUGCAAACGUUGCUCGGAAUCAUUGGGCGUAAAGCGCACGUAGGCGGUCCAGCAAGUCGGGUGUGAAAGCCCUCGGCUUAACCGAGGAAGUGCAUUCGAAACUACUGGACUUGAAUACUGAAGAGGAUCGCGGAACUCCCGGUGUAGAGGUGAAAUUCGUAGAUAUCGGGAGGAACACCAGUGGCGAAGGCGGCGAUCUGGGCAGAUAUUGACGCUGAGGUGCGAAAGCGUGGGGAGCAAACAGG